UGGGGAAUCUUCCGCAAUGGACGAAAGUCUGACGGAGCAACGCCGCGUGAGUGAAGACGGCCUUCGGGUUGUAAAGCUCUGUGAUCCGGGACGAAAGAGCCUGAGGUGAAUAGCCUAAGGAAGUGACGGUACCGGAAAAGCAAGCCACGGCUAACUACGUGCCAGCAGCCGCGGUAAUACGUAGGUGGCAAGCGUUGUCCGGAAUUAUUGGGCGUAAAGCGCGCGCAGGCGGCUUCCUAAGUCCAUCUUAAAAGUGCGGGGCUUAACCCCGUGAUGGGAUGGAAACUGGGAAGCUAGAGUAUCGGAGAGGAAAGUGGAAUUCCUAGUGUAGCGGUGAAAUGCGUAGAGAUUAGGAAGAACACCGGUGGCGAAGGCGACUUUCUGGACGAAAACUGACGCUGAGGCGCGAAAGCGUGGGGAGCAAACAGG
rnacentral:rRNA from 1 species